CUCGAAUUGAAAGCCACGUCUCGCCCACAUUCCUUAAUCUUCCCCUUGCAAAAUAUCUCAGCAAUUUCUCAUUACUCCACAAUCCCACAAAAAUUGAAGCUUUAAGCUCCAACAAGGACCUUUAUUUUUGUAUCCAAUUCUAUGGCAGCUGCUUCGUUGCUUGAAGCGAGCCCACUGAAAUGGCGGCAGAACCNNNNNNNNNAUCCAGUUAUCCCCGCCUCGUCCUCUUCCCUUUCUCCCCUAUCCCAUCCCUCUCAGACCUGCUAAAUUCGGCGAUACGAUAAAAGGUCAGAGCUUUGAUAAAUUCAGCGUUAAGUGCUCUUUCAUGGAUGAACUUUUAACGAACUCGGAUAAUAAUGCCCCAAGUUUGAGUUCGAGUUCGAAUUCCAAUCCCACAUCCGUUACUAGAUUAAUAACAGCUAACCCUUUUGAAAUCAUUUACAAUGCGAUCAUAAAAGCUCUGAAAGCGCUUAAAAAACCUGCAAUUGCAGCGAUUUUAGUGGGGCUUUUAUUGAUGUACGACC
rnacentral:misc_RNA from 1 species